AACGAACGCUGGCGGCAGGCUUAACACAUGCAAGUCGAGCGCCCCGCAAGGGGAGCGGCGGACGGGUGCGUAACGCGUGGGAACGUACCCUUUGCUACGGAAUAGCUCCGGGAAACUGGAAUUAAUACCGUAUGUGCCCUACGGGGGAAAGAUUUAUCGGCGAAGGAUCGGCCCGCGUUAGAUUAGCUAGUUGGUGGGGUAAUGGCCUACCAAGGCGACGAGCCAGAGCUGGUCUGAGAGGAUGAUCAGCCACAUUGGGACUGAGACACGGCCCAAACUCCUACGGGAGGCAGCAGUGGGGAAUAUUGGACAAUGGGCGCAAGCCUGAUCCAGCCAUGCCGCGUGAGUGAUGAAGGCCUUAGGGUUGUAAAGCUCUUUCACCGGAGAAGAUAAUGACGGUAUCCGGAGAAGAAGCCCCGGCUAACUUCGUGCCAGCCGCCGCAGUAAAAC
rnacentral:rRNA from 1 species